ACAUCUAGGACCGCCUCACCUCAAGCCCAAGCUCAAGAGCACAGUGGGAGGAUUGAGGCUUGGAUGGAGAUGGAAUGCAUCGUUUUCAAUAUACUGUCUCAUUGUCAUUAUACUGUCUUCUAAGCCCUCCAUUACCCGCCCUCUGCUUGAGGGUAGAGACCAAAGUGUGUGUUCGUACCACCAGCGUUCUGCAAAGCAGUUACGCACGAACAGAAAGUCCCGCGGACGCUCCAUGAUGAGUGGCACCUAAGCUGUCCGGUUCUUCGGGUUUUCCCAGCGCAGAGCCCGGUAUAUACUGCAGGCACUCCAUCAAUAUUCGUUGGGUAAAUAGAAAGACGAUCCAGAGGGUACUAGAAACUCCCAAGGGACUUACCUGCCUUGUGCAACGGAAUUCCCCUUACGCCCAGAGCCCAGCAGAGAGGAGGCACUCCAUACACGCUUUCCAACCACCAACUGCUGAAGGAGGCUCAGGUUAAGUCAUUCUCUUCAGGCUCCAGGAUAAGCAGGUCCGGUUUGUAGGUUACAGCCUUAUCUGGGGACCCUCGUUUUCCACCCCAGCUACACGUCUGUGAACAAUCGCCUCUCCGGCCCCUGAAAGGAGAGCGAGCGCCCCAUUUCUGCUGAAUGCACGUCUCAGUUCAUCCAAGGCUGGCGGGCUUUUGAUGGCCACAAUGCGAGUUACGCCCAAAGAGUGUCUCUUUGGUCAGAUCGACAACGCUUGGCUUCACGUUUGCAAGUUAAACGGGCAGAAACCCGGCUGAAACUCCCACGCCAGACGCCGGGGACGCUUCCCUCCGCCCAGUUCAGAGCAGCCCUGGGGACUGGGUCUGGGCAGGGGGAAGAAGGGAGGGAGCGGGAGUUGUCAGGGGGCGGC